rnacentral:rRNA from 1 species
CGACCGGCGCACGGGUGAGUAACACGUAUCCAACCUGCCGUCUACUCUUGGACAGCCUUCUGAAAGGAAGAUUAAUACAAGAUGGCAUCAUGAGUCCGCAUGUUCACAUGAUUAAAGGUAUUCCGGUAGACGAUGGGGAUGCGUUCCAUUAGAUAGUAGGCGGGGGUAACGGGCCCACCUAGUCUUCGGUGGAUAGGGGUUCUGAGAGGAAGGGUCCCCCCACAUUGGAACUGAGACACGGUCCAAACUCCUACGGGAGGCAGCAUG